rnacentral:rRNA from 1 species
GAUGAACGCUAGCGGCAGGCUUAAUACAUGCAAGUCGUGGGGCAGCAUGAGUAGCAAUACUUGAUGGCGACCGGCAAACGGGUGAGGAACACGUACACAACCCUCCUUCAAGCGGGGAAUAGCCCAGAGAAAUUUGGAUUAAUACCCCAUAAUAUAUUUGAUAAGGCAUCUUAUUAAUAUUAAAGCUUCGGCACUUGAUGAUGGGUGUGCGGCUGAUUAGAUAGUUGGCGGGUAACGGCCCACCAAGUCUACGAUCAGUAGCUGAUGUGAGAGCAUGAUCAGCCACACGGGCACUGAGACACGGGCCCGACUCCUACGGGAGGCAGCAGUAAGGAACAUUGGACAAUGGACGAAAGUCUGAUCCAGCCAUGCCGCGUGAAGGAUUAAGGUCCUCUGGAUUGUAAACUUCUUUAUAUGGACGAAAAAGGGCAUUACUUGUUCUACUUGUACGGUACCAUAUAGAAUAAGCACCGGCUAACUCCGUGCCAG